UACGUAGGGUGCGAGCGUUAAUCGGAAUUACUGGGCGUAAAGCGUGCGUAGGCGGUUUGGCAAGUCGGGUGUGAAAACUCCGGCUCAACUCGGAGACGCCACUCGAUACUGCUAUGACUCGAGUCCGGUAGGGGAGUGCGGAAUUCCUGGUGUAGCGGUGAAAUGCGCAGAUAUCAGGAGGAACACCGGUGGCGAAGGCGGCACCUCUGGGCCGGAACUGACGCUGAGGAGCGAAAGCGUGGGGAGCGAACAGG
rnacentral:rRNA from 1 species